rnacentral:rRNA from 1 species
CAAGUCGAACGCGAAAGUCCCGAAAGGGAUGAGUAGAGUGGCAAACGGGUGAGUAACACGUGGGUGACCUGCCUUCGAGUGGGGGAUAACGUCCCGAAAGGGACGCUAAUACCGCGUAAUAUGCCGCCUUUUAACAGGUGGACAUCAAAGCUGGGGAUCGCAAGACCUAGCGCUUGAAGAGGGGCCCGCGUCUGAUUAGCUAGUUGGUGGGGUAAUGGCUCACCAAGGCAACGAUCAGUAUCCGGCCUGAGAGGGCGGACGGACACACUGGGACUGAGACACGGCCCAGACUCCUACGGGAGGCAGCAGUGGGGAAUUGUUCGCAAUGGGCGCAAGCCUGACGACGCAACGCCGCGUGGAGGAUGAAGACCUUCGGGUCGUAAACUCCUUUCGAUCGAGACGAAUGGCCUCCGGGUGAACAAUCCGGAGGAGUGACGGUACCGAGAGAAGAAGCCCCGGCUAACUCCGUGCCAGCAGCCGCGGUAAUACGGGGGGGGCAAGCGUUGUUCGGAAUUACUGGGCGUAAAGGGCUCGUAGGUGGCCAACUAAGUCAGACGUGAAAUCCCUCAGCUUAACUGGGGAACUGCGUCUGAUACUGGAUGGCUUGAGUUUGGGAGAGGGACGCGGAAUUCCAGGUGUAGCGGUGAAAUGCGUAGAUAUCUGGAGGAACACCGGUGGCGAAGGCGGCGUCCUGGACCAACACUGACACUGAUGAGCGAAAGCCAGGGGAGCAAACGGGAUUAGAUACCCCGGUAGUCCAGGCCCUAAACGAUGAAUGCUUGGUGUGGCGGGUAUCGAU